AGGGGAAUGGCUCAGUGGUGGAGCACAUGCUUAGCAUGCAUGAUGUCCUGGGUUCAAGCCCCAGUACCACCA
rnacentral:tRNA from 1 species